GCGCUCGGGGCGGGAGCGCGCCUUGCCCGUCCCAGGGCGGUUUCCCCUGCCGGGCUCGAGGGCCCUGCCUCAGGCGCCUGCCCGCUGGCGCCGUUUCCCGCUCCUGCGAGCGCCGGGGGAUCCCCCUCACGGUGCGGGGGCUCCGCGGGCCGCGCUCUGGGGGUGGAGAGGGGAAGGGUGACCCUGGGGGUGGAGGCGGGGGUUGCCUCGUCGUGCUCCUUCGCGCGGCGUGUCGGGGGCACCGACUUGGCUGCGCCCGCGCCCUGGGUUCCCUUCAUCGGGUUCGCGGGCGCGCGCACGAGGGAUGGCUGCGGCGGCGGCGGCGGCCCGGCGACGGGAAGGAGGCUCUGUGCGCCUCCAGGAAAGUGCCCAGGAAAUAUUUAAAAGACCUGGAAAACACCGACCAGGAUGAAAGCUAAGGUGUCACUGGCAGCACCACUGGACCUGAUAGGCCUGGUCAGCUGGAAACCUGAGAUGGGAAGGCACUGAGCCUGAGGAGGAGGAGGAGGAGGAGGAGAGGAGAGGACGAAAGGCAGACGCUGCUCUACUUGCUCAUUACCAGCCCAGAUGAAGAAGCAGUCGCUUCUGGCCUGAGGGAACUGGCAGCAUACUACUGUGUCAUCCAAGCUCUAUAUCUCUCUUACUCAAGUUAGCGCCGUGUCAUGGAUCCCUGAAUCAUGAUUGGUAAAGAAUAUCCUAUAUCUUGAAGGGCACUAACAAUCAAUUCGUGACAAGACAGUGAUGAUAAUAAGACACUGGAGAACUGACAAGGUGCUAAGGAUGAAAAAAAAAAAAGAAAGUUGUUGAAGGAUUAAUGAAACUUACCUGAUACGAUUUAGGAAGAUCCUACAUCGUAGCCACCUAGGAAAAGAAGCAGAAGAUGAAGCACAAAGUAAGUUCCAAAUCUUUGAGGGCACGCAACUGUUCUACAGGGACAGGGACCCUUCUAACCACACCUUGUCUAUCCCCUAAGUACCUGGUCAACACAACCUGUGAUGCUGUUGCAAAGGCAGGAGCUUGUGAAAUGGUGGCAGGGUGGUUUUUAUGCUGAGGAUCCACCACAAACUCAAGAGAGAGGAGGCCCUGUUUUUUGUUCUUAUUACUGUUUCCCCCUGGUUUCCGGUCUACCCUAAUACUAGUUCAGGUAAAGUGCUGGGGUAUUUCCAUGUCUUAUUUUCGUGUACUUUUGCUCUCCUUCUUCAUGAAAUACUUUACCUACGUUAACAUGACCUCACAGGUGGGGUGACCAGGAAUCAACAUGUGGGUACCACUUUAAACAGCACUUUGGAACACUGAAUACAAAUGGGAACAAAAUGAACCACUGGGCCUCAGAAUCUCUCUGUCUCUAUGGAGAGUGAGCUAGAGAGAUUUAUGAUCCUGAUCCCUUUCACUUCAGUAAACAGUCUGAUCUGGGCAUCCCCUCCUGCAUGUGAGUGACCCCCUCUCACAAGGCCACCUUCUCCCCCUGCCUGCUUUGAUGACUGUAAUGCCUUCCUGAGGAAACUUCUCUGUAUUCAUCUGGCCUCCCUGCAGUGCAUCCCUCAUAGCCUAGUCAGUGAUAUUUUUGUAGAAAUGCCAGUCUUCCCUUGUCAUUCUGUGGUCAAUCUGUAGCCCAAAAUACAGUUGGUCAAUAUCUCUGGCCAUGAUUAUUGCCCAAACUCCACCAUUCAUGGUGUUUAUGUGCCUGUGUAUAUGAUAGGUAGCAAAACAUCUUACACAUCAUCUCUGUUAUUCUUUGAAAUGUAUGUGGAACAUUCAUAUUGGGCACACAUGGAUGGCAGAAGGUUGACCCUCAGCCUGCUCAGGCCCCCAUAGUUCAAACAGGAUUCUCUGUCUUAACUUGAUGUUGUAAAAAAGGUAACCAAAGACUUUAUUUCUGUAAAUAACUUUAGCUGUUCUGAUAUUUAGUAAAGACCAAGGUAGAUACAGAAUCCACCAUGGAAUUUCUAGAAUAGAACAAUAUGAAUACACAGUUCCUUGAAUAGAUCCUAUCAUUUUAUAUGUCUAAGUCUUAUCCCAUACUCUUUCCCUUUUCUAGAAUCUUUGGUAAGAUUUAUCUGGUUUAUUCCUGCUAAGAAAUAUAUUUUUUUUUUUGUC